rnacentral:lncRNA from 1 species
UUUUUUUUUUUUUUUUGUCCAGGAUGGUAAAGUUCUGGAAUACAUAGAAACUGAAAAUAAAACAGGGAUGACCAGGGCCAUAGCAAGGGCUUCACCAGUUUCCUUAAUUUAUAGUUUUCAUAACCUGUCAGAGCCUUAACACCUUUCUAUAAAACCAACAGUGUUCAUGCAUUAGGUUUUGUUGCAAAUGCAAACUCCUCAGUAGUUUCCAUGGUCAGACCCCCUUUUGGCAGUCAUGAUGGCUCAAAGGAGGUGAAGCCUGAGAGCAAAUCCAGAAAAGCAACCCCUCAGAUGUGUGCAUGUAUAUUAAGGCGUCACCCUCGCUGUUGCAAAGUCAUUCCCACCACUACUGCUGUCAUGGCUUCUGUAUCUCCCCAGAGAUUUCCUGUGACUCGCCAGAGAAAGAACAGACUUUGGAAUCACAUGCUGAUUCAAACAUGACCUUGCUAUUUUCUGUUGUGUGACCUUGGACAAGUGAUACCACCUCUCUGAGCUUCACACACAAAGCGCCUGCAUCCCUGGUUGUGGUGGAGAUUAAAUGAGAUGGAGAGCAGGAUGAAUGUGAAUUCCGUCGCUAUGAACGCCUAGAGCUUUCAUUCCUGAUGCUUUGUGGACCUUCUGAGUAUAUCCAGCCUUAUAUGCUUGAAUGGCAUUUUAUGCUUGUCUUUUUUCCCAACUGGAAGCACCUUGAAGGUAGGACCAGGUUCAGGAAUCCCUUAUAAUGUCCAGCAUGGUGCUAGGCAUGGGGUAAAGAGCCAAUAAGUGAAUUUCAAUUUAAUGCCCAUUUAUCAACCUUCGACCAGCUUAUUAAUGAUUAUGGAAUUCUACUGAGAUGUAAAAAGAGAGUUGACCAGCCAUAAAUAAGUGGCUUAAUACAUUAUGGUAUAUUCCAUUAGUGGGUCAUUAUAUGGAAAUUAAAAUCAUGUUUUAAAGAAUGGUUAACGAGGUGGCUCGUGGUAUCAUACAAAAAGGGCAGGAUAUGUAAUGUCUAUUCUGUAUAUUACCAACAUUGUAAUGUAUACGAGCCAAGAAGAAAAAACUAGAAGGAUUUGUAUCAGAAUGUUAGCAAUGGUUAUAUCAGGGUAGGGUAAUGACUUAAUUUUCUUCUUGUCUCUGUUGAAAUGAUCUAUGAUGAGCAUGUAUUGCCUAACAAUCAGAGGAAAAAAGGCUAGUGAUUUUUUUUACCGCAGACGAGGGGGGUAUCUCAUUAUAAAAGGAUUUUUCCAAGGAUGCUGCCAAUCCUGCUUUAGGGAAAUUAACCUUGUUGGCCUUGUUUCCGCUGCACCCACCCCAUGUAGUACUACUGUGGGUUCUGUAAUCCUAUGGCCUUAAAUGUUCACCUCAAGUUUAAAGAGAAGUGGAGAGAGAAAGAAUUUCCCAAAGGGACUGGGCCAUUUAUUUAUGCAUUUAUUUAUUGUCUUUUUGUUUUGUUUUGUUUUGUUUAGAGCGGCACAUGGAGGUUCCCAGGCUAGGGGUCCAAUCAGAGCUGUAGCUGUCGGCCUGCACCACAGCCACAGCAACACGGGAUCUGGGCUGCAUCUGUGACCUAUACCACAGUUCACGUCAAUGCUGGAUCCUUAACCCACUGAGGGAGGCCAAGGAUUGAACCCAUCCUCAUGGAUGCUAGUCAGGUUCGUUAACCGCUGAGCCGUGAUGGGAACUCCCUAGGCCACUUAUUUAUAAAUCCCUUGUCAGAUGCCCUUGAGAUGCCAAGGCAUCUCUGCUUUGUUCCAAGGAAGUGGCAAGUUGUGAUCUCUGGCAAACUCUUUGACGCCCCAUGAAAUACACAGUGAAUGCCAAGACCUCUGUUCCAGGCCAGAGAACACCUCCAAAUACCCAACCUGCUGACUGUGCCCCUGGCAGUAAGUCAUAAAGUGGUUCAGAGGCCAAGUGACAUGAUGUUGUCAUUCCUGGGCUCUGGAAUCUUGGGAAAACUGCUCGACUGCUUUAAGCACAAUCCUCAAAAGGGGAGAUGAUAACCUUACCUCGCCCACAGAGAUACUGCAAAGAUUCAGUGAGAUCAUGAUUUUCUCAUGCUUAAGCUAACUCACACUACUGUGUCUCUUAUUUAAACAGCAUGAUUUUGGAGUUCCCACUGUGGCUCAGUGGGUUAGGUAUCCAACUAAUUCCCAUGAGGAUGAGGAUUUAACCCCUGGCCUCACUCAGUGGGUUAAGGAUCCGGUGUUGCCGUGAGCUAUGGUGUAGGUCACAGACCUGGCUCAGAUCUGGUGUUGCAGUAGCUGCAGCUCUGAUUCAACCCCUAGCCUGGGAACUUCCAUAUGCCGCCUGUGCAGCCCUGAAAACCAACAAACAAACAAGCAAACUUGGUUUGGUAAGAGGAGCACACUUUUGACCCUAAGGACCCUGGUUCAUAGCGCACCUCACCACUUGUGAGCUGUGUGAUAAAUGUCAAUUAACCUGCUUGAGCAUCAGUCAUAUCUGUAAAAAGGGGUCCCUCAUGCCAACUUCCAUGGAGUAGCUGACAGGUGGUAGAGUGAGCGAGUGAAAAGGUACAAAGGUGGCAAGCUGGACCAUUCAAGCAGAGUAGCCAUGACCCGGUGCCAGCCAACUGUUACCAUCCAGGGCUUCAGAAGUGUGAGUCUAUGGUUGUUAGGUCUGCUUUGUUAAGAGAUGCAAGAAAUUUUAAUUUUCAUAGGCAAUUCAGCAGUUUUUAAAGGUUGGCAAAUCAUUAGAAGUUUUUCAGGCGACUUUGUGCAGGCACCGGUGGGAGAUUGGAUUUUCAGUUGACUUGAACCCAUUACCCUUGGAGUCUACAAGAGGGAGAGUAUAUAUCCCCACCCCACUGAUGUUGGAUUGUCCUUGGGACUUGCCUUAGGCAAUGGCUGCAGAGUGAGAAAGUGUGUGUGUGUGUGUGUGUGUGUGUGUGUGUGUGUGUGUGUGAGAGAGAGAGAGAGAGAGAGAGAUUUGGUCUAUCUUCUUUCACUUCUUCCCUGGCCCAGAGAAGAAUAUGCUCUUUCGGGAGAGGGGGGAGGCUACUAUCCCCCCAGAAAGGGACUUGAGGGGCAAACCUGAAGUAGACUUGCCCCACAUGAGCCCCAGUCCCGAGUGAGAAAAAUAAGUUUGUGGUCAUAGGCUGCUGAGAUUUGUAGAUUAUACAAAGCAGAACUCAACUCAUAAACCACCCUCAGCUUCCCAGUUUGAGAGAUCCGGGCAAAGCACCCAGCAAAUGACUGUCACAUAGUGUGUUCUUAUAAAUGGUUGCCCUUGGGAUUUGUCUGGGCCUGACCAAAUCUCCUGGGGGCUCUAUAGUAGAAGUUAGGCUUAGGCCAUGUUUUGUAAAAUGUUUGUUUUGUGCUAAUUCAGCCUCUGAGAAACCUGAACGCAGCCAUCUCUGCUCCCUCUUAACGCCUCAUACACCUACAGGGAUAAAUGUCAUUUUACAUGGUGCUAUAGAAUUACAGACUGUUUGUCACCUAGAGAAAAAUGUGUGGGGAGUUUCCAUUGUGGCACAGUGGCAAUGAAUCUGACUAGGAACCAUGAGGUUGCGGGUUUGAUCCCUGGCCUCGCUCAGUGGGUUAAGGAUCGGUGUUGUCAUGAGCUGUGGGGUAGCUCACAGAGGUGGCUCGGAUUCUGUGUUGCUGUGGCUGUGGUGUAGGCUGGCAGCUAUAGCUCCGAUUCAACCCCUCGCCUGGGAACCUCCAUAUGCCUCGGGUGUGGCCCUAAAAAAAAAAAAAAAAGUGUGGUCAGCAGCAGUUUCAUGAUUUUUUUCUUGGGAGUUUUUACCUAUAUCUAUUUCACCAACAUGUAGGAUAGAGUUUUGAUAUGAAGGAUUCAAAUAGGAGUGAUUAAACUACUCAGACCUAGACAAGUUUAAUGGGACAGCGAGGGAUAUUUAACAAAAGCAACAACAACAACAAAAGCUUGUAAGGGAAGAGCCAAGACAGAAGCGAGAACCAAGCACUCUUGGGUCCCAGAGGGGACAAUCGAACCUGACCAGAUUUUGGGGGGGCGUCUCGGGGAACUUGGGACUCAAAUUGGGUCUUUAAGAAAGAAGAGCUUUGGUGAUGCAAGAAGGUAGGGACGGCCAAGAGGGAAAAUCAUAUGCAAAGACCCAUGGGACACAAGCACUUGGUGUCUUCAGAAAAUCACGAGGAGUCUGGGUAGGAUGGUGAAUCAGGUACAGGUGGGAAAGGGCUAACAUACAAGGGUAAUGUAAGCAAGGACCAGGCUGUGAACUGCGUUGGUUGCCAUAGAGAUCUGCUUCCAAAGAUGGCGGCUGUUGGUUCCUCCCCUCCCUGUAGGCACAAGCUACUUACCCAUCAAAGAGUGGAGCCUGUCCCUCCAGGUCUUGAAUCUGGGCUGGCUUGAUGGAUAGCAGAGACACGAUGGUGUUUCCAUUCUAGGCAUUGGCGACUUAUGGUUCUCCUCUCUUAGGAUGCUGGUUCUUGGACCCCAACCACCAUUCUGUGAAAACCCCCUGGAGAGGAUCCAUGAAGGCACGCCAGUCAACAGCCCUGCCUUAAGCUCUACCUAAUAACCAGCCACUUGACAGUGCCACCUAGAAUGUCCAGUCUACCCUAAACUCUGAUGAGUCCAGCUGACCUCUGAUGAGUCCAGCGGACCUCUGAUGACUCCAGCGCUAGCCAGCAUCUGUGCCCCUUAGUGUGGACCACCUGGCAGAGACCAGUGAGUGCUCAGAAGGGUAACUGAUAAUAAAUUGUCUCUUGAGUCUCUGAGUUUGGGGCUGAUUUGCUAUGCAGCGGUAGAUAACCAGAACAGAUGACAAACCAAUUGUCCUAGGCAUCAUCUGUAAUGAUUGCGUACUGGUGACUUUAAAGAAUUGAUUAAAAAAGAAAACCUAAAAUGGGGUGGGGGAUAAAAAGUGGCAAUUCUCUUAGCAGUACACUAGUGGGGAAGCAAUAAAGUCUCCGCGUGCCUCUAUUUCCUCAGGCUCUGUGGCUACCAUGCUGCCUAGUUUCCUCCAAAUGCUAAUGUUCUAGGGGAGCAAUGUGAUGUGCUUAGAAAGAACCCAGGCUUUGUGGUCAAGGGAGGUGUGGAAUCGAAUUCCACCUGUGUCACUCAUGAGCUCUGAGAUGGGGCAAGUCACUUAAUGAAGCACACUGUGCCCUGCCCAGAUGCCCUUUCCCACCCAUGCCAAGAUGCUAGAACUUUUGCCUUCUAGUUUUGGCCUCUUCUCUGCAGAAUAGCCC